rnacentral:rRNA from 1 species
AGGUCAUUGCUAUUGGAGUCCGAUUUAGCCCAUGCUAGUUGCACGAGUUGAGACUUCGUAGCAGAUAGCUCAGUAAACACGUGGCCAAACUACCCCUAUGGAUCCGAAUAACCUCGGGAAACUGAGGCUAAUGCGGAAUACCGCUCGCUGCCUGGAAGUGGCGCGAGCGCGAAACGUUCAGGCGCCAUAGGAUGUGGCUGCGGCCGAUUAGGUAGACGGUGGGGUAACGGCCCACCGUGCCGAUAAUCGGUACGGGUUGUGAGAGCAAGAGCCCGGAGACGGUAUCUGAGACAAGAUACCGGGCCCUACGGGGCGCAGCAGGCGCGAAACCUUUACACUGCACGCGAGUGCGAUAAGGGGACUCCGAGUGCGAGGGCAUAUAGUCCUCGCUUUUCACCACCGUAAGGUGGUGGUGGAAUAAGUGCUGGGCAAGACCGGUGCCAGCCGCCGCGGUAAUACCGGCAGCACGAGUGAUGACCGCUAUUAUUGGGCCUAAAGCGUCCGUAGCUGGCCGCACAAGUCUAUCGGGAAAUCUGCGUGCUUAACGCGCAGGCGUCCGGUGGAAACUGUGUGGCUUGGGACCGGAAGAUCCAGAGGGUACGUCUGGGGUAGGAGUGAAAUCCCGUAAUCCUGGACGGACCGCCGGUGGCGAAAGCGCUCUGGAAGGACGGAUCCGACGGUGAGGGACGAAAGCUCGGGUCACGAACCGGAUUAGAUACCCGGGUAGUCCGAGCUGUAAACGAUGUCUGCUAGGUGUGACACUGGCUACGAGCCAGUGUUGUGCCGCAGGGAAGCCGUGAAGCAGACCGCCUGGGAAGUACGUCCGCAAGGAUGAAACUUAAAGGAAUUGGCGGGGGAGCACUACAACCGGAGGAGCCUGCGGUUU